CCAAUCACCAUUCCCUCAUUCAUGCAUUUAUAUUUGUAAGGGUGUUUGUUUAUGUUGCGGUGUUUUUGCAAAAGGCUGUUUUGAUUAAAUUCAGUGCUUUUUUAUUGACAUAACUUGCAAGAUAAUAUCAAAAUGAAAGUUGAUGUGCCAGCUCCAAAUGAUAAAUCAAAGAUCCCUUUGCCGACCCUUUCUCAGAUAAAUGCUGAUAGAAUAACACUUCUUGCAACCCAAUAUUGGUCACCUCAACCUAAAGAUAAUCACUUGCCCUAUGAUGCUGCUAUUGUGGAGUCCAUAUAUCAAGCAGAGAUCCUUGGAUCAAAUUUUUCUGUACGGCGUAUAAUGAUGUUGGAAUUUUCGCAAUACCUCGAAAAUUAUUUUUGGCCACAUUAUGAGACGGGGAAGGCAUCUCACGCUCAUAUGAUGUCAAUAAUCGUAAUGAAUAAUGAGAAGUUCCGUGAGAGGGUCCCAGCAUGGCAGGCAUUACUAAAGAAACCAGAUGACUUUCCUGGCUUCUUUGAGCAAGUUCUUCAUGCUAGUGUAGCGGAAGACCAUUUAAGUAACAAUAUGAGGGAGCAGACAAAUCUCCUACUCUUUUUGAACCAUUGCUUUGGGAGUAUGGAGGUGCAAUUAUGCAGAGAUCAAGUGAAACGAUUGGUGUCUCUUAGCAUGUGGAUUAGUUUGCAAGAAGGUCGAUGAAAUCAAGAGUUCAAAAACGUGCCAAAAUGGCGGAAGUAUUGGAGGGCCACACAGAAGAAGGACAAACCUGAACUUUUAGAUAAGUUGAACUGGGAGAGGCGAUACUUGCAGAAACUCAUGAUUAAAUUUAUGAGGACAUUGGAAAGCAUUCCUGAGGAGGGUGAUGUUAACCCAGAUAAAAUAAGAUACUGCGAGCGAUUCCUGGAGCUGAUGAUCGACCUUGAAGCAUUAUUACCAACACGGCGCUUCUUCAACACCGUCAUGGACGAUUGGGGUUGGGUGUGAGUCAAACGCACCUGAAUUUGAUGAUACUGAUUGUGCAGGAGUCUCGGGGACCCUUGAUUGGAACACCUCCAAGUGAUUUUAGCUUUAGGAUAAGCGUCAAACGACUCCCUCGGAGAAACACAACAAAUACCCCGAACAGCCCGCUUCUGCAGCACAAAUAUGGAUUGGACCUCUGCAGCAGCACCCCACAGUAGAAUACCGUACGACAUAACGCUGUGAAAGUAGCUAUGAUCCACAAUAGAUUUAUUAACUGUCAUUGAAGUGUUUAACUGAGCGAUGAAAGUCAAUAAACACUUUAGUGGGGGUUAUUUUACUAGAAGACAAAUAUCAGGAAACAAGUUUUGUCUCCUGUUUGAUGUCAGCCAUAACCUGAACAAUGAAUGCCUACGUAUAACCCGCGGCACGUAAGUCUAGCGCUGGCCGAUACGCGGAGGGGAUUGCUGCGCAUGUGUACUGUCGCGCGGGGGACAAAAUGCGACUGGAGAGCCAAUCGACACUCUUCAUUCCGCUAGCCCCCCUCAGGUACCUUAUUUUUUACUUCUGCGCAAUAACGGUCAGCGCUAGACUUACGUGCCGCGGGUUAUAGGUUAGGAAAAAUCAUAUGUAUGCAAAUUUUCUGUAGAGGUAUCAUAAUAUAUUCAUUGAAUUUGUAGAAA